GACGAACGCUGGCGGCGCGCUUAACACAUGCAAGUCGAGCGAAGCGGCGGACGGGUGAGUAACACGUGAGUAACCUGCCUUAGACAUUGGGAUAGCAUCGGGAAACCGGGAUUAAUCCCAAAUGGUAUACGAGGGACUCGCGUCCCAUUAGCUAGUUGGUGGGUAACGGCCCACCAAGGCGACGAUGGGUAGCCGGCCUGAGAGGGGGAACGGCCACAUUGGAACUGAGAAACGGUCUAAACUCUACGGGAGGCAGCAGUGUGGAAUAUUGCACAAUGGAGGGAAUUCGGAGGCAGUGACGCCGCGUGAACGAAGAAGGCUUGCGAGUCGUAAAGUUCUUUUAUAUGGGAAGCGGUACCAUAAGAAAAAGCCCCGGCUAACUACGUGCCAGCAGCCGCGGUAAUA
rnacentral:rRNA from 1 species